AGUGAACGCUGGCGGUAGGCCUAACACAUGCAAGUCGAACGGCAGCACAGUAAGAGCUUGCUCUUACGGGUGGCGAGUGGCGGACGGGUGAGGAAUACAUCGGAAUCUACUUUUUCGUGGGGGAUAACGUAGGGAAACUUACGCUAAUACCGCAUACGACCUACGGGUGAAAGCAGGGGAUCUUCGGACCUUGUGCGAUUGAAUGAGCCGAUGUCGGAUUAGCUAGUUGGCGGGGUAAAGGCCCACCAAGGCGACGAUCCGUAGCUGGUCUGAGAGGAUGAUCAGCCACACGGGAACGGAGACAGGGUCCAGACUCCUACGGGAGGCAGCAGUGGGGAAUAUUGGGCAACGGGCGCAAGCCUGAUCCAGCCAUACCGCGUGGGUGAAGAAGGCCUUCGGGUUGGAAAGCCCUUUUGUUGGGAAAGAAAAGCAGCAGGUUAAUACGCCGCUGUUCUGACGGUACCCAAAGAAUAAGCACCGGCUAACUUCGUG
rnacentral:rRNA from 1 species